CCAUCAUCAAACUCAGCAAGAUACACAAAAGAAGUGGCUCCAACCCCAAUCCUAAUCCUAAAAUCACUAGUCGCCAUUUUCAGCUCUUCAACUUUUCCUGAUCUGCACAUUUGCUUGCCUGUGCCUCAAGGUACGUUGUAACAGCUUGGAAGAGAAAUUAGAGGCCGUAGGGGAAGUGGGAGGUCUUCCCUCUUCACUCUUUAGAGACGGGUCAAGGAAG